GGGUGCUAACGUCCGUCGUGAAGAGGGAAACAACCCAGACCGCCAGCUAAGGUCCCAAAGUCAUGGUUAAGUGGGAAACGAUGUGGGAAGGCCCAGACAGCCAGGAUGUUGGCUUAGAAGCAGCCAUCAUUUAAAGAAAGCGUAAUAGCUCACUGGUCGAGUCGGCCUGCGCGGAAGAUGUAACGGGGCUAAACCAUGCACCGAAGCUGCGGCAGCGACACUGAUGUGUUGUUGGGUAGGGGAGCGUUCUGUAAGCCGUUGAAGGUGGCCUGUGAGGGUUGCUGGAGGUAUCAGAAGUGCGAAUGCUGACAUAAGUAACGAUAAAGCGGGUGAAAAGCCCGCUCGCCGGAAGACCAAGGGUUCCUGUCCAACGUUAAUCGGGGCAGGGUGAGUCGACCCCUAAGGCGAGGCCGAAAGGCGUAGUCGAUGGGAAACGGGUUAAUAUUCCCGUACUUGGUGUUACUGCGAAGGGGGGACGGAGAAGGCUAUGUUGGCCGGGCGACGGUUGUCCCGGUUUAAGCGUGUAGGUGUGUGUUCCAGGUAAAUCCGGUU
rnacentral:rRNA from 1 species